rnacentral:rRNA from 1 species
GACGAACGCUGGCGGCGUGCUUAACACAUGCAAGUCGAGCGGUAAGGCCCUUUCGGGGUACGACGAGCGGCGAACGGGUGAGUAACACGUGGGUGGACCUGCCCUCCAGCUCUGGGAGUAAGACCGGGAAACGUAGGGUCUAAUACUGGAUAUGACUCCACGGUGCAUGUCGUGGGGUGGAAAGACCUUGUGCGGCUGAGGAUGGGCCCGCGGCCUAUCAGCUUGUUGGUGGGGUGAUGGCCUACCAAGGCGACGACGGGUAGCCGGCCUGAGAGGGCGACCGGCCACACUGGGACUGAGACACGGCCCAGACUCCUACGGGAGGCAGCAGUGGGGAAUCUUGCGCAAUGGGCGAAAGCCUGACGCAGCGACGCCGCGUGAGGGAUGACGGCC